AUGGAAGGAGAAAUCAAUGGGGUAAAUAAGAGGAUUUAAUACAGGAUGUCAAAAGGCAUUAUACAUGUAGGUAGUGUCAACUACCAACAGCCUACAGCUUGUCUGGCAUACGACUGUAAGCUAUCAGAAGUGUAGGUCUGGUAACAUUUGUGAGAAGGCACAUCAGGGAUGCACACAUUUUUACAAGGGGGCGCUGAAAACAAAAUAACCUUGGGCUGUACCUUAUAUUGGUUGUGUACAUGUACAUUUCAAAAUUUCAGGGGGGGAGGGGGGCACGGCUGUCUCCAAACUAUGCACUCAGUCUACACAUUACUUGUCAUGAAACAAAAUACCAGGUAGCAUACAUUUCCUAUCCUUUUUGUCACAUUCAUUAUUGAAUCUUGUACAGUCAAUUAUUAUACAGGAAUCAAAUGACACUUUUUGUCACAUUCAUUAUUGAAUCUUGUACAGUCAAUUAUUACGCAGGAAUCAAAUGACAAAUUCUUUGCACUUUCAAGAGCUGUGGUACCCAGCUUUAAAAUAGCAAUGAAUGGACUCUCUGUCUCAUUCCUGCAAAAUGUUCAAAAACUACUGAGUAGAUUUUGAAAUUGAAUUUUAAAAAUGUCGUCUGUAUGCAUUGUACAUGUUACGUACUGCGACAUAACAUACAUGUACUGUACAGAAAGUAUGAGAAUUACAUGUUUUACCAAAGGAUACGGUAUUUUUUUAAAUGAAAACAACUUUUUAUUUUCUGCAAGCCAAUCCCAUUUGCAGGUGUGAAUAGGAUUAUGUGAUGAUGGUACAGCGUGACCAACGUGCCUUUGGUGAGGUCAGAUACUGCUAGAGAGUCAGGUAUACUCACGUCACAUAGCAACGGAUGCUUAGUCACACUCGAGUAACCUCAUCGGCUUGUGCUUUCUAGGGAUCGAAUCCACUUGGUAAAAUAACACUGCUUUAUUUUAAUCCCAUGAAGCACAUUAAAUUUAUCAAGGAGUGGGUGUUACCUGAGACACAGAGUGCCAAAUACAUGUACUGCACCGUAUAUUUCUACAUGAAUGAAAAAUGAAGAACUUUGAAGACAGUCAAGCUGUGUAUAUUUUCCUGUGGGCAAGUUGCUUAGAAGAAUGUUAAGGGAAUGAUUUUUCUACAUGUAGAUACAGGAUUGAGUAUCAUUUUAUGUUUUACAAGCACCUUGAAGAAAGGACAGGUCUACCAGUUCUCAAAUACCUAAAUCUGUUCAUGGAACACAAAUCUGAAGUUAGUUUAAAAUGGUUGGACAUAUCAUGUACAUGUGCAUGUACACGUAUCCUGAGCAGUUGCUGUAUGAAGCUAGAAAAGAAAAAUUAAUCCACAUUCCAAUACAAGUUGAAAAUUCACGGCCCAACAGACAACAUUUCAUUUCUGUCAGGCCAACAUUGGAUUCCCCAUCUCUCUAGCAGUUGCUGUAGUAAUGAACACCCAAUGUCACUACCGGGGAAGCACUGAUGCGGAUGCAGACACACACCACACACUCUCACUCACGGCACUGUCAGUGUCACUGAAGCUACUUGCGUCAUUCUUCACUUGUGAAUCAUCUUCAUCCUUCCUGCUCCAAGAGGAUGCUGGGCUGGUACUUUCUUCUAUCAAUCUUGACCAUCCCGUGUCAAACAGCAAGACGUCCAACAUGAUUUGGGAUUUUGAGGGGGAAAGAUGAUGACUUUGGGUAUUUCGGCAUGGACCACGAUUGAAAGAUUGGUGUAAUCUCAGAAGGGAUUCAGUGCCACUGUCAUUAGCCUCACUCUCUGGUGGUUCCCAGACAUAAGGUGUGACUCAGGAACCCGAGCAGAGUCAAGCUAUUAGCUGAUUAGAAGAAGGGCCAGACAUUGGAGAUUGCAGAAGCUGACGAGCCAAUUAAGGGUCUGCUUUAACCAGCCGAAGCUUCGAUUUUCAUUUGGCUGUGUGAUUACCUCCAUCCUUUGCUCCUCGUGAUUGUUGUGUCAGAGCUGAUCUCAAGCUGUUCCUGUUCCUCUUCUUGUGCCUUCCUGCUCAGCAGACAGUGACUGAUGGUUCCAUGCAUUGGAGAUGAGACUGGAGCAUCUUUAUUUCAAUCAACCUUCCGACUUUGCCCUGUGGUGUGACUGCUGAUGCAUAAGUUUUGCUAGUGUGUUCUCUGCAAGCAGUCAGAAGUGAUCUGACAUCAGGUGAAUGACCUCCACUCGACCCAGGUGAGAGAGAAGCCCUGGAUAUUGAUCAGUCUGGUCAGGUAGUUUGAAUGAAGUGAAUGAAGGAGAGGAGGGUGAGAAUAACGGGACUGAAAGCUGGGGAUUAAGACAGGCAGAAAAUUUAAGCUCUGCUGAAGUGUGGCCAUUUGAAUGACAGUGGGGUAUGAACUGAAGAGGAGUGGGUUGAAGUUAUGCUUUAGCCAUUUAUAUGAAUGGAGUGGAAUGACAUUUUGACUGGUUGCACUUGCAGUCUCUGAGCUACUGAGAAUAUACAUGUAUACUCUUGCAUGCCAUCAACUUGUACAGUAAGUUGGAAAGCAUGUGGAACCAUGCUACAGCCGUUUGGCCAAGAUUCUCAACAGAUUAUGAAAGCCAUUUCUCUGCAUUUCUGCUUCAGAAAAUCCCAGAUUUGAUCAUUGUUUCUAAUUCUAGUGCCUUUUAACUACAACUUCAUAGAUAUAAGAACCUUCCAAUCUUUGCAUAUUUAUCAAACAUGUUUCUUCAGCAGUCUUUUGUACACAUACUUGUAAUCUGUUGUACCUAUUUAGCCAGUUUCUGCUGAAUGGGUGGCCACAGGCAACACUCAGGUGGGCACUAAGUCAGGAUUCACACAAGUUUGAGAAAGUCGCAUAAAUGUUUAUACACCAUUGUUUGCGAAAUCCAGAUUACAAAAGAAAACCACUUGUUAUGCUUUGCAUCAUUUGAACCCAUUCACCAUGACCUAUUUCCAUCCUGGAAAAAUGCAAACUAGGUACUGUUUGACACAUUUACUUAGAAGGAAAUGGAGUGACACAUUAAUGGCUUGUGUUGCCACCCUGCACCCUGUACAUGUAACAUCAGGGACAGCAGCUAGACAGGUGACAUUUGUCUAUUUAUGAAAGAGCUGUCAUUACCAUUUUAGCGAUGGGGGUGGUCAUGUCUGUUUCCUUGGGCCCAGUACUCCUAUUCUUCUAUUGUUGUAAUGCUUUGCCCCCUCCCCCCAUUAGUUGUGUCUGUGAAGCUAGCUCUGACAAGAUAAAUUGAUUCCUUGAACGUUUUGUUCAGUCAAACCAGCACAUCUGUACUGUAUAUCAUGAACAUAAAGUGGAAGGCAGAAUCAACCUGUUUUAAAACAGUUUUGUCACAUGUAUUUUAUUGAGAUCAGAAUAUCCAAGGGCAAAAAUCCAAAAUUAAUUGAGAU